rnacentral:rRNA from 1 species
UACAGAGGGGGCAAGCGUUAUUCGGAAUUAUUGGGCGUAAAGGGCGCGUAGGCGGCUUUUCAAGUGAGGGGUGAAAUCCCUCGGCUUAACCGAGGAACUGCCUGUCAGACUGGAAGGCUUGAGACCGGGAGAGGUGAGUGGAAUUCCCAGUGUAGCGGUGAAAUGCGUAGAUAUUGGGAGGAACACCAGUGGCGAAGGCGGCUCACUGGACCGGAACUGACGCUGAGGAGCGAAAGCCAGGGGAGCAAACGGG